rnacentral:lncRNA from 1 species
GGGAAGUUGAAUAAGCCUGUUUCGAAAAGAUAAUUGUUCUAACAUCCGUAGCAAUUAUUUUGCCUGACCUUAACUACUGGGUACAUUUUUGGUUGCUAUUGUGUGUCUAUGCUAUUUCUCUGUGUCUGUUAUUUCUGCUCACCAAAUGCUCAAAGACUUUGUUUCUUCUCUUCCAUUUUGAAUAGCGUUCACCUUGUGCUGACACUUGGACAGGGAAGCCCAGCUGGACUCUACCCAAUCCACCUGAGCCUUCCAGAGGAUUUUUCAGAGACUACUCUUAAUGUUGUUGGUUCCUUUGACAUGUUGAGCACUGAAGAGUUCCAGGAAAAUAAAGUGCUCCAGCACAUGCAAUUCCCACAUCAGCCUUGGGAGAAGAGGCUUGCAGUCCAUAGAAAGUGA